rnacentral:rRNA from 1 species
UACGGGGGGGGCAAGCGUUGUUCGGAAUUACUGGGCGUAAAGGGCUCGUAGGUGGCCAACUAAGUCAGACGUGAAAUCCCUCGGCUUAACCGGGGAACUGCGUCUGAUACUGGAUGGCUUGAGUUCGGGAGAGGGAUGCGGAAUUCCAGGUGUAGCGGUGAAAUGCGUAGAUAUCUGGAGGAACACCGGUGGCGAAGGCGGCAUCUUGGACCGACACUGACGCUGAGGAGCGAAAGCCAGGGGAGCAAACGGG